rnacentral:rRNA from 1 species
GACGAACGCUGGCGGCGUGCUUAACACAUGCAAGUCGAACGGAAAGGCCCUGCUUUUGUGGGGUGCUCGAGUGGCGAACGGGUGAGUAACACGUGAGUAACCUGCCCUUGACUUUGGGAUAACUUCAGGAAACUGGGGCUAAUACCGGAUAGGAGCUCCUGCUGCAUGGUGGGGGUUGGAAAGUUUCGGCGGUUGGGGAUGGACUCGCGGCUUAUCAGCUUGUUGGUGGGGUAGUGGCUUACCAAGGCUUUGACGGGUAGCCGGCCUGAGAGGGUGACCGGCCACAUUGGGACUGAGAUACGGCCCAGACUCCUACGGGAGGCAGCAGUGGGGAAUAUUGCACAAGGGGCGGAAGCCUGAUGCAGCAACGCCGCGUGCGGGAUGACGGCCUUCGGGUUGUAAACCGCUUUCGCCUGUGACGAAGCGUGAGUGACGGGAAUGGGGAAAGAAGCACCGGCUAACUACGU